AUUUAAAUAGUUUAAAAAUAAAAUAUUGAUUUGUGGAAUCAAAGAUAUAAAGAUUUAUUUUAAAUA
rnacentral:tRNA from 1 species